rnacentral:rRNA from 1 species
GAUGAACGCUGGCGGCGUGCUUAACACAUGCAGGUCGAACGAUGAAGCCCAGCUUGCUGGGUGGAUUAGUGGCGAACGGGUGAGUAACACGUGAGCAACCUGCCCCUGACUCUGGGAUAAGCGCUGGAAACGGCGUCUAAUACUGGAUAUGUCCCGUCACCGCAUGGUGUGCGGGUGGAAAGAUUUUUCGGUUGGGGAUGGGCUCGCGGCCUAUCAGCUUGUUGGUGAGGUAAUGGCUCACCAAGGCGUCGACGGGUAGCCGGCCUGAGAGGGUGACCGGCCACACUGGGACUGAGACACGGCCCAGACUCCUACGGGAGGCAGCAGUGGGGAAUAUUGCACAAUGGGCGGAAGCCUGAUGCAGCAACGCCGCGUGAGGGAUGACGGCCUUCGGGUUGUAAACCUCUUUUAGCAGGGAAGAAGCGAAAGGGACGGUACCUGCAGAAAAAGCACCGGCUAACUACGU